UGGGGUGUCCCCCUCUAUGUGUCCAGUGACUAUCGGGGACCCCCACCCCCUGAAUCCCCCCAUGGUGUCCAGUUAUGAGUAUUGGGGUCCCCCCGAAGCCCCCAGCAGGGUUUGGGGGCUCAGCCAUCCUCUCCCGCAGUCAUGGACCUGAGCUCGGAUGAGGAUUAUGAUGAUGAUGAGGAGGAAGAAGAGGAAGCACCAGUGCCAGCCCCCAAGAGGCCCCCAAAGGGCUCAGGUGCCCAGAAGGGCAGAACAACCAAGAAAAGGAAGUGGGAAAAGGAGGAGGAGCCGAACAGCCUCGUCCCUGCACGUGCCCCCCCAGCCAAGGGACGCGGAGCCGGCCGGGGCAGGAAAAGAGCAGCAAAAAAAUGAUGGAAUUGGGGAAUUCUGGGAAUUCCAUCCAGGUGAGGAUUGGGGGGUGUCCCUGGAAUGGCUCUGACCCCACAGCGGGCUCACCCCACUAAAAACCCUUUUCCUCUUCCCCUCCAGGUGCCUGGAAGCAGCAGCUGGUGGUGGUGGUGGUGUGGUUCCCUAUUAAAUAAAGCACAUUUUGCACUCCUGGAUCCCUGUGCU
rnacentral:lncRNA from 1 species